UCGGAAGUGAGAAUCCCAGCUGUGUGUC
rnacentral:piRNA from 1 species